rnacentral:lncRNA from 9 species
GGGUCCGAGUGGGGGACGGUCGCUAACACCUCGAUUCCUCAUGUCUGUGUUUCUGCAGCUUGGAGCUUGGAGAGUGUGUGUGAGAGCGACCUCGCUGACAGCAACCUCGCAGAAAGUGAUCGAGACUCGGUGGCGGAGCGCACCGACUGCCGCCAGGAUGAGGAGGCUGCAGACUGUUGCUUUGGGAGCAAAGGAUCGUGCUUCAAAAGUCUGAGGACAAGUUUGUCCUCUGCGAGCUUGGCUAGAAUAAUUCCCCGGUGGCCACACAACAGGGUGCACCUUGCCACUGAGCCAGAUGAAGCAACGCACGCCGACGAUGUUGUGGAGGCCGGUGGGAGUGAGAAGACCGAGGCAAAGCCCCGGGCUGGGGGACAUGAGGACGAGGCGGCCCCAGUACCUGAGGUGGAGGAGGAGGAGGAGGCGGGCCAGCCCCUUGAAAAUGGCCAGGAGGAGUCCCCAGCCAUCGCCUGGGCUGAGCCGGAAGACGAGCCUGGCCCCAAGGUGGACGGGGCGGACGAUGAAAUCUCUUGGAGCUUGGAGAGUGUGUGUGAGAGCGACCUCGCUGACAGCAACCUCGCAGAAAGUGAUCGAGACUCGGUGGCGGAGCGCACCGACUGCCGCCAGGAUGAGGAGGCUGCAGACUGUUGCUUUGGGAGCAAAGGAUCGUGCUUCAAAAGUCUGAGGACAAGUUUGUCCUCUGCGAGCUUGGCUAGAAUAAUUCCCCGGUGGCCACACAACAGGGUGCACCUUGCCACUGAGCCAGAUGAAGGAACUCACGACGACGAUGUUGUGGAGGCCGGUGGGAGUGAGAAGACUGAGGCAAAGCCCCGGGCUGGGGGACAUGAGGACGAGGCGGCCCCAGUACCUGAGGUGGAGGAGGAGGAGGAGGCGGGCCAGCCCCGUGAAAAUGGCCAGGAGGAGUCCUUAGCCAUCGCCUGGGCUGAGCCGGAAGACGAGCCUGGCCCCAAGGUAAGCUCACCUUUCUUGAUGUGAGGUUGGAAAAGGUGCCUCCUUUCUUCUUGGAUGUACCUCCUUCAGAAAUGGAAAUCUGAGAAAGUCCACUGUAGAUGAUAUAUGCAGAUUGCUGUGCG